rnacentral:rRNA from 1 species
GAUGAACGCUGGCGGCGUGCUUAACACAUGCAAGUCGAACGGGAAACCUUUUAUUGAAGCUUCGGCAGAUUUAGCUGGUUUCUAGUGGCGGACGGGUGAGUAACGCGUGGGUAACCUGCCUUAUACAGGGGGAUAACAACCAGAAAUGGUUGCUAAUACCGCAUAAGCGCACAGGACCGCAUGGUCCGGUGUGAAAAACUCCGGUGGGAUAAGAUGGACCCGCGUUGGAUUAGCUAGUUGGCAGGGUAACGGCCUACCAAGGCGACGAUCCAUAGCCGGACUGAGAGUGUGAACGGCCACAAUGGGACUGAGACACGGCCCAGACUCCUACGGGAGGCAGCAGUGGGGAAUAUUGCACAAUGGGGGAAACCCUGAUGCAGCGACGCCGCGUAAAGGAAGAAGUAUCUCGGUAUGUAAACUUCUAUCAGCAGGGAAGAUAGUGACGGUACCUGACUAAGAAGCCCCGGCUAACUACGUG